GGUCAAACCAUUGCAUGAUGAUUCCGUAAAUUGCUCUAUAACAAUUACUAACACUACUGGUUUUUAUACUCUUGCUUGGCUAUUUUCAGAACCUUAUCCUUUCACAAACAAAGGAGUUGGUUCAAUAUUUUAUUAUUUGCAAAAUACUAAUGUUUCCCUAGAUCAAGACAAUCCAGUUCCCCUUACUUCUAUCGCUCCUGAUAAUGUUCAUAGCAUGUAUAAUGCCACAUGGCCUAGAGGAUACGUCCGUAUCAUAUAUAAUAGGAGUAGAAUAGAGAACAGAGGUUGGUUCGCGGUUUUAUUAUAUUGUAGCCCACAUACUACACCUACUGUUCAUAAUUAUUCCCAUAUUCCAAUACCCUCAUCAUGUGUAAACACUACUAUAAUUCAGAAGGCUGUACACAUAACACUAAAUAUAUCUACACCUGAUGUACGAUUAUGUAAUCCACUACCUAAUAGAGAGAAGAGAGAAUGGUAUGAUACCAUCUUAGGGGGUACAGGAACAACUAUAGGAAUAUUAAAUGGUGUAGACAUGGAAAUACUAAAGAAUAAGUUAUCCACGGCAGGGAAAGAAUUAGGGAUAGGAUUUCAUGUAAUGGCUAAAUGGGCCCCUACCAUGGUACAAUCACAAUGGAAGGAAUUACAAUUAGAACAAUCUAUGUACACCUAUCUGGUUAAUCUAACAUAUGCUAUUACUAACCUAACAAAAGGAAUCACUGACUGGACCUUAUGUGCCACUAGAGUUUUAUGGAUGCAUCAACAAAGGUUAAGACUAGAGAAUACUCUUAUGGUACCUAAAAUACAGAAAGUCAGAGAAAUGAUGGAAUUGACUGACAACUACUGGAUUAGUUUAAGGUCAAAUGAUGUAGAUUGUGAAGAAUGGGUAGAAGACGAGAUAUCGAGUUAUUCAUGUAGGGUUGGAUUUACGUUAUAUGAAGUUGCUCCAACCCAUAUAAAACUAGCAUGUAAGUUCUUCACUUUACCUACACCUAUGUUUAAUAUACUUAAUGAUAAUCUUACUUGGUGGAAUCCAACUUUUACAGGAGAAUAUAUAUUCCCCAAGGAUAAUAAAACAUAUUCAUUAGAACACUGUGACAAGGCAGAUAAAGGUUACACAUGCAGACAUUCCUCACCCAUCU